rnacentral:rRNA from 1 species
GGGACACGUGGUAUCCUGUCUGAAUAUGGGGGGACCAUCCUCCAAGGCUAAAUACUCCUGACUGACCGAUAGUGAACCAGUACCGUGAGGGAAAGGCGAAAAGAACCCCGGCGAGGGGAGUGAAAAAGAACCUGAAACCGUGUACGUACAAGCAGUGGGAGCCUCUUUUAUGGGGUGACUGCGUACCUUUUGUAUAAUGGGUCAGCGACUUAUAUUCUGUAGCAAGGUUAACCGAAUAGGGGAGCCGAAGGGAAACCGAGUCUUAACUGGGCGUUAAGUUGCAGGGUAUAGACCCGAAACCCGGUGAUCUAGCCAUGGGCAGGUUGAAGGUUGGGUAACACUAACUGGAGGACCGAACCGACUAAUGUUGAAAAAUUAGCGGAUGACUUGUGGCUGGGGGUGAAAGGCCAAUCAAACCGGGAGAUAGCUGGUUCUCCCCGAAAGCUAUUUAGGUAGCGCCUCGUGAAUUCAUCUCCGGGGGUAGAGCACUGUUUCGGCAAGGGGGUCAUCCCGACUUACCAACCCGAUGCAAACUGCGAAUACCGGAGAAUGUUAUCACGGGAGACACACGGCGGGUGCUAACGUCCGUCGUGAAGAGGGAAACAACCCAGACCGCCAGCUAAGGUCCCAAAGUCAUGGUUAAGUGGGAAACGAUGUGGGAAGGCCCAGACAGCCAGGAUGUUGGCUUAGAAGCAGCCAUCAUUUAAAGAAAGCGUAAUAGCUCACUGGUCGAGUCGGCCUGCGCGGAAGAUGUAACGGGGCUAAACCAUGCACCGAAGCUGCGGCAGCGACGCUGAUGCGUUGUUGGGUAGGGGAGCGUUCUGUAAGCCUGUGAAGGUGUGCUGUGAGG